rnacentral:RNase_P_RNA from 1 species
AGGGGUGAGUGCAUGAUCGCUCCGGCGUGGGCCGGAGAGGAAAGUCCGAACACCACAGGGCGCGGUGGUUCGUAACGCGAACUCCGGGCAACCGGGGGAAAGUGCCGCAGAAAACACACCGCCGAUGGGCGCGCGAGCGUCACAGGCAAGGUUGAAAUGGCGAGGUAAGAGCUCACCGCCCCCAUGGCGACAUGGGGGGCAGGGUAAACCCCACCGGGUGCAAGACCAAAUAGGGAGGCGAUCGAGGGCGGCCCGCCCGAAGCCUCCGGGUAGGUUGCACGAGGUGCCGGGCGACCGGCAUCCCAGUCAAAUGAUCAUGGUCCGCCUCCGGGCGGAAACAGAAUUCGGCUUAUAACUCACCCCUCUUU